UACGUAGGGUGCGAGCGUUAAUCGGAAUUACUGGGCGUAAAGCGUGCGCAGACGGUUGCGUAAGUCAGAUGUGAAAGCCCCGGGCUCAACCUGGGAAUUGCAUUUGUGACUGCACGGCUAGAGUGUGUCAGAGGGGGGUAGAAUUCCACGUGUAGCAGUGAAAUGCGUAGAUAUGUGGAGGAAUACCGAUGGCGAAGGCAGCCCCCUGGGAUAACACUGACGCUCAUGCACGAAAGCGUGGGGAGCAAACAGG
rnacentral:rRNA from 1 species